rnacentral:antisense_RNA from 1 species
AGAACCCAGAAUGUGAUUCUCAGGACCUGUCGCAUAAUUUCACAACCAAGCAUUCUUGCAUUCUUCUUUGUACCUGAAUCGUAGAAAGUUCUGGAAAAAGCUAGGAGCCUCCUCAUGACCUCUCCUGCCAGAAGCAAUGAUCCCGGAGAAUUGAUACUUGCGGAGUGGGGAGUUCAAAAAAGUCAGUGACCAAAACCCCCUCAUACCAUAAAUGCUAUUGCCUCCUCUGGUCCAGAGUUUCCCAUCCUCCACACCAUUGACAUCUUGGGCUGGAUAAUUCUUUAUUGUAGGGGGCUGUCCUGUGCAUUGUAGGAGGCCUCCACCCACUAGAUGCCAGUUGCAACCUGCCCCCGACGUUGUGACAAUCAAAAAGUCUCUGGACAUUGCCAAAUGCCCUCUUGGGGAGAGGGCAGGGAGCACAUAUCUGCAUGACAAUGUACAGAACUGACUUAUAAUAUUAUUAUUGUUUUAUUUUAUAUGCUGGGGCCAAUCCAGGAUAAACUCACUACAGCUGCCUUGUUCUCUGUCCACCAAGUACUGUCCAAAAACACAUAGUGGUGAUUGACAUCUC